rnacentral:rRNA from 1 species
GAUGGACGCUGGCGGCGUGCCUAAUACAUGCAAGUCGAGCGAACAGACGAGGAGCUUGCUCCUCUGACGUUAGCGGCGGACGGGUGAGUAACACGUGGAUAACCUACCUAUAAGACUGGGAUAACUUCGGGAAACCGGAGCUAAUACCGGAUAAUAUAUUGAACCGCAUGGUUCAAUAGUGAAAGACGGUUUUGCUGUCACUUAUAGAUGGAUCCGCGCCGCAUUAGCUAGUUGGUAAGGUAACGGCUUACCAAGGCGACGAUGCGUAGCCGACCUGAGAGGGUGAUCGGCCACACUGGAACUGAGACACGGUCCAGACUCCUACGGGAGGCAGCAGUAGGGAAUCUUCCGCAAUGGGCGAAAGCCUGACGGAGCAACGCCGCGUGAGUGAUGAAGGUCUUCGGAUCGUAAAACUCUGUUAUUAGGGAAGAACAAAUGUGUAAGUAACUAUGCACGUCUUGACGGUACCUAAUCAGAAAGCCACGGCUAACUACGUG